CCUCGAUAUGUCACUUCAUCUGCCGUUUUUCUUCCGUUAAUGCGAAGCUGGUUGCAUAAUAUCUAAUUUCUGCUUUAGCUGACCGCAGAUAAAAACAAAAUCUAUAAUGGCAGCGCUAGGUUUUAUAAAAAACGCAAGUGAGGAGUUGAAGGAUGUGGCUUGUUCUGUUUGGAUGAUGCAGGAUUGCUUUAAGCAGUAAGCUUACUGUUUUCAGAUGGCAUUAGCAGCAUCAGUGAUAGAGCUGUGUCAGCCUCCUUGACUACUGGAUGUCUGUAAUCACACGGAGGAGAAACUAUAUUUAAGAUCUGAUAUCGUGAGGGUAAUGACUGCAGCACUUACGGAUGGACAGAAUGGCUGUUAAUGCUUUCUUCACUAGCCCAGAAGAUUUUGAAAGAUAGAUGCGUCUGUGAUGUACCUCUGUAAGACAGGAAAUGCAAUUUCUGGGGGUCUCUGCAAGCAGAAAGGUCAUGCAGCUUGGAACCAGUGAGACAUUACAGUCUUUCAGUCAUCAGAGAAAUGAUGAAGAGGCUGUUGUGGAUAGAGGUGGAACUCGCUCCAUUCUCAAAACACAUUUUGAAAAGGAAGAUCUAGAAGGCCAUCGAACAUUGUUCAUUGGAGUUCAUGUGCCACUGGGUGGAAGAAAAAGUCACCGACGCCAUAGGCACCGUGGACAUAAACACAGAAAGAGAGACAGAGAGCGAGAUUCAGGAUUGGAAGAUGGAAGAGAGUCUCCUCCUUUUGACACCCCAUCACAAAGGGUGCAGUUUAUUCUUGGAACAGAAGAUGAUGACGAGGAACACAUUCCUCAUGAUCUUUUUACUGAGCUUGAUGAAAUUUGCUGGCGUGAAGGAGAGGAUGCAGAGUGGAGGGAGACAGCAAGGUGGCUGAAGUUUGAAGAGGAUGUAGAGGAUGGUGGAGAGAGGUGGAGCAAACCAUAUGUUGCCACACUGUCACUGCAUAGCUUGUUUGAGCUGAGAAGCUGUAUCCUAAAUGGCACGGUUCUUUUGGACAUGAGAGCUAACUCCAUAGAAGAAAUUGCAGAUAUGAUUCUGGACCAGCAGGUGAGUUCUGGGCAGCUCAAUGAGGAUGUUCGUCACAGAGUGCAUGAGGCGUUACUGAAACAGCAUCACCAUCAGAACCAGAAGAAGCUAAGCAACAGGAUCCCAAUUGUGAGAUCUUUUGCUGAUAUUGGAAAAAAGCAGUCCGAGCCCCAUUCCAUGGAUAAAAAUGCAGGUCAGAUUGUUUCCCCACAGUCUGCUCCAGCUUGUACUGAAAACAAGAAUGAUGUGAGCAGAGAAAACAGCACCGUUGACUUCAGCAAGGUUGACCUACACUUCAUGAAAAAGAUACCACCUGGAGCUGAAGCCUCAAACAUCUUAGUUGGUGAACUGGAGUUCCUGGAUCGUGCAGUUGUUGCUUUUGUUAGGUUAUCUCCUGCAGUGCUGCUUACAGGACUAGCUGAAGUUCCAAUUCCAACAAGAUUUUUGUUUAUUCUUCUUGGACCACUGGGCAAAGGACAACAAUACCAUGAGAUCGGAAGAUCAAUUGCAACACUGAUGACAGAUGAGGUGUUCCAUGAUGUUGCUUACAAAGCAAAAGACCGCAAUGAUUUGGUGUCUGGAAUUGAUGAGUUUCUUGAUCAGGUUACUGUUCUUCCUCCUGGAGAGUGGGACCCAACAAUUCGAAUAGAACCACCUAAAAAUGUUCCCUCUCAGGAGAAGCGUAAGAUCCCAGGAGUGCCAAAUGGGACUGCAGCCCAUGGGGACGCAGAGCAACCUGGAGGACACUCUGGACCAGAACUGCAACGCACUGGAAAAUUUUUUGGAGGAUUGAUUUUAGAUAUUAAAAGAAAAGCUCCCUUCUUCUGGAGUGACUUCAGGGAUGCUCUCAGUCUGCAGUGUCUGGCGUCAUUUCUGUUUCUCUACUGUGCUUGCAUGUCUCCUGUCAUCACAUUUGGUGGUCUGCUGGGAGAAGCAACUGAAGGUCGUAUAAGUGCAAUAGAAUCGUUAUUUGGAGCAUCCAUGACUGGAAUUGCCUACUCUCUCUUUGGUGGACAGCCUCUCACUAUACUUGGCAGCACAGGACCAGUUUUAGUAUUUGAGAAGAUCUUAUUCAAAUUUUGCAAGGAGUAUGAGUUGUCAUACCUUUCUCUGAGAGCUAGCAUUGGACUGUGGACUGCAAUUCUGUGCAUCAUCCUUGUUGCAACUGAUGCAAGCUCCCUAGUCUGUUACAUUACCCGGUUUACUGAAGAAGCUUUUGCUUCUCUUAUCUGUAUAAUUUUCAUUUAUGAGGCCUUAGAGAAGUUAUUUCAUCUCAGUGAGACAUAUCCAAUCAACAUGCAUAAUGAUUUGGAUCUGCUGACGAACUACUCAUGUGAUUGUGUGGAACCAGAACAUCCGAGCAAUAAAACCUUACGAUACUGGCAGGAUUACAAUAUAUCUGCAUCUGAUGUGCCAUGGGGGAACCUAACUGUGUCAGAAUGUAAAAAGUUUCAUGGAGAGUUUGUUGGACGAGCCUGUGGUCAUCAUGGCCCUUAUGUUCCAGAUGUCCUCUUCUGGUCUGUCAUCUUAUUCUUUUCUACAGUAACACUGUCAUCCACACUGAAGCAGUUCAAAACUAGCCGAUACUUCCCAACAAAGGUACGAUCCGUUGUCAGUGAUUUUGCUGUCUUUCUCACUAUUUUGUCCAUGGUUUUAAUUGACUAUGCCAUUGGGAUUCCGUCACCAAAACUUCAAGUUCCAAAUGCUUUUAAGCCCACCAGAGAUGAUCGUGGCUGGUUUAUUACUCCUUUGGGGCCUAAUCCUUGGUGGACAGUGAUAGCUGCUGUAAUUCCAGCCUUGCUUUGUACUAUCCUUAUCUUUAUGGACCAGCAGAUCACAGCUGUCAUCAUCAACAGAAAAGAACACAAGCUAAAGAAAGGAUGUGGAUACCAUCUUGACCUACUCAUGGUGGCAGUCAUGCUUGGAGUGUGCUCUAUUAUGGGAUUGCCAUGGUUUGUUGCAGCAACUGUCCUCUCUAUUUCCCAUGUGAAUAGCUUAAAACUGGAAUCAGAGUGCUCUGCUCCAGGGGAGCAGCCCAAAUUUCUUGGAAUCCGGGAGCAAAGAGUCACGGGGCUCAUGAUUUUUAUCCUUAUGGGCUCAUCUGUCUUCUUGACAAGUAUCCUGAAGUUUAUUCCUAUGCCAGUACUUUAUGGAGUAUUUCUUUACAUGGGUGCUUCAUCUCUAAAGGGAAUUCAGCUUUUUGACAGGAUAAAGUUAUUCUGGAUGCCUGCAAAGCACCAGCCAGAUUUUAUUUAUCUGAGGCAUGUUCCUCUCCGAAAGGUCCAUCUCUUCACUGUAAUUCAGCUGAGUUGUCUUGUGCUUCUGUGGAUUAUAAAGGUUUCAAGAGCUGCCAUUGUCUUUCCUAUGAUGGUCCUGGCUCUGGUCUUUGUCCGAAAACUCAUGGAUUUCUUUUUUACAAAGCGAGAGCUCAGUUGGUUAGAUGAUUUGAUGCCUGAGAGCAAGAAAAAGAAACUGGAAGAUGCUGAGAAAGAGGAAGAGCAAAGUAUGUUAGCAAUGGAAGAGGAAGGGACUGUUCAGUUACCACUAGAAGGACAUUACAGAGAUGACCCAUCUGUGAUAAACAUUUCUGAUGAAAUGGCAAAAACUGCUGUGUGGAAGACAUUGUUGAUAUCCUCUGAGAAUGCAAAAGAUAAGGAGUCAAGCUUUCCUUCUAAAAGACUCAGGUGAAAAGGAACCAGGAGAUCACAGGUUUUAUGGUUUUUAAUUAAGGAAUUAUUCCCAUGAAACCUGUGCUGAAAUCAGAAAAGAGAAGAAAGCUGACUCAGGGAA